GACGAACGCUGGCGGCGUGCUUAACACAUGCAAGUCGAACGGAAAGGCCCUGCUUGUGUGUGGUGCUCGAGUGGCGAACGGGUGAUUAACACGUGAGUAACCUGCCCUUGACUUUGGGAUAACGUCAGGAAACUUGGUCUAAUACCGGAUAGGAGGUCGUGCGCCAGGGUGGGUGGUGGAAAGUUUCGGCGGUUGGGGGUGUACUCGCGGCUUAUCAUCUUGGUGGUGGGGUAGUGGCUUCCGAAGGGUUUGACGGGUAGCCGGCAGGAGAAGGUCACCGGCGACAUGGGGACUGAGAUACGGAGCAGACUGGUACGGGAGGCAGCAGUGGGGAAUCUUGCCCAAUGGGGGGGAGUCUGAUGCAGAGACGCCGCGUGCGGGAUGACGGCCUUCGGGUUGUAAAAAGCUUUCGCCUGUGACGAAGCGUGAGUGACGGUAAUGGAUAAAGAAGCACCGGCUAACUACGUG
rnacentral:rRNA from 1 species